rnacentral:rRNA from 1 species
UACGUAGGGUGCAAGCGUUGUCCGGAAUUAUUGGGCGUAAAGAGCUCGUAGGCGGUCUGUCGCGUCUGCUGUGAAAACUCGGGGCUUAACCCCGGGCCUGCAGUGGGUACGGGCAGACUAGAGUGCGGUAGGGGAGACUGGAAUUCCUGGUGUAGCGGUGAAAUGCGCAGAUAUCAGGAGGAACACCGGUGGCGAAGGCGGGUCUCUGGGACGUAACUGACGCUGAGGAGCGAAAGCAUGGGGAGCGAACAGG